CACCCCAAUUACCAUUGUCAAUUGCAAAAACAAAAAGAAACCUAACAUCCCCUUCAAUCUUCCCCACGCAUGUUACGAUCUCCCCACACAUAACGUCUUCGCUAUCAAGAGCAGCAAAACUGUUUUCCCUGGACACACUCCAACCUCCAUCCUUCUUUAGUUAUGUCACGUUCAGAGGGGAGUUCAACGGUAGCACCCAAGCAUGGCGGAGAUUAUGCAUUGCGUUGUGCCGUAGUUGGAAGGUAUGUCUUAGAUGGAGAAGCCCUUGGCACAAAGAUCUGUUGUGGCCCGUUAAUUUCCCAUUGAUUUGGUGAGCUAUUGAGAAGAAUGGAGUUUUCUAUGAUUUGGUGAGGAAUAUUUUCCCUUGCAAUGUCUAGAACCGAUUGCUGCUCAAACCAAAUUGUUGCAGUGCAUGGAAGGAUACAAAGUCAUAGAAGGAUACAAUGCCAGAUAUAGAUGAUACACAAGAAAGAUGCAAAUGGAUACAUUUGGAUUUAGCUGGUUCGAGUAUUAUGAUGUGGCUGGAGCAAUCCACUUGAUUCAUUAUAGUGGUUGAUUCAUUGCAGUGAUUCUUCAGCAGCUGAGUAACAAGCUGUUCCUGGGUUCAGAUUGUCAGUUGUCUUGCUGGUAGGCCUCCAUCGGCUGGUGGCCUCAUUGCUAUUUUAUUUCUCUUGAUUCUAGUUAUCUGCAGCUACAGGGAGUCAUAGGUGAAUUUAGUUUGGGGUUGACGGUAUCUUUUAAUUUUAAAGGUUGACAUUGAACGUCGAAUUUUGGUUUUGUACCUUUUCUUGAAAUUUUGAAUUUUGGAGAAUAUUAUUUAACAGGUUAUGUUAUUUUGAGAUUACUGAAAUACAGAGGAGACGUUGUCGUUUU